rnacentral:rRNA from 2 species
AGAGUUUGAUCCUGGCUCAGGAUGAACGCCGGCGGUGUGCAUAAUACAUGCAAGUCGAACGCGUUGGCCCAACUGAUUGAACGUGCUUGCACGGACUUGAUGUUGAUUUACCAGCGAGUGGCGGACGGGUGAGUAACACGUAGGUAACCUGCCCCAAAGCGGGGGAUAACAUUUGGAAACAGAUGCUAAUACCGCAUAACAAUUUGAAUCGCAUGAUUCAAAUUUAAAAGAUGGCUUCGGCUAUCACUUUGGGAUGGACCUGCGGCGCAUUAGCUUGUUGGUAGGGUAACGGCCUACCAAGGCUGUGAUGCGUAGCCGAGUUGAGAGACUGAUCGGCCACAAUGGAACUGAGACACGGUCCAUACUCCUACGGGAGGCAGCAGUAGGGAAUCUUCCACAAUGGGCGCAAGCCUGAUGGAGCAACACCGCGUGAGUGAAGAAGGGUUUCGGCUCGUAAAGCUCUGUUGUUAGAGAAGAACGUGCGCGAGAGUAACUGUUCACGCAGUGACGGUAUCUAACCAGAAAGUCACGGCUAACUACGUGCCAGCAGCCGCGGUAAUACGUAGGUGGCAAGCGUUAUCCGGAUUUAUUGGGCGUAAAGCGAGCGCAGGCGGUUUGAUAAGUCUGAUGUGAAAGCCUUUGGCUUAACCAAAGAAGUGCAUCGGAAACUGUCAGACUUGAGUGCAGAAGAGGACAGUGGAACUCCAUGUGUAGCGGUGGAAUGCGUAGAUAUAUGGAAGAACACCAGUGGCGAAGGCGGCUGUCUGGUCUGCAACUGACGCUGAGGCUCGAAAGCAUGGGUAGCGAGCAGGAUUAGAUACCCUAGUAGUCC